GCAAAAAGAUAAAAAGCAUCAACCCUAAACACUUGCAAUUUUUCAUAUCUAUCCUAAACACUUUCAACUUUUCGUAUCUAUCAGAAUCGUCACUAUCAUAAAUUGGGAGAUGAAUCAAUCGAGAAAAACUAAAGUAAACUUUAUUCUAUCAUCAACAUUGAAUUCGUUAAUCAUGGUGUUGUUCUUCAUUCCAUUCAGUGUGUUGUGAUUUCUCCAUUUCUUAAUCCAUGAUUUUAUACAAGAAACAAUCUUACAUUUUUCUCUGUAUCCUUUACUCUUUCCCUAAAUUAUUUGAUCCUUUCUAAUUUUCAACUCAAAAGGUACAUGAUUUGUUUUAUACUUUUAAUAAUCAUUUAUUUUUCAACCAUCGUGUUUUGUUUAGGUUUUUCUGGAUUCUAUUUCUCUUCUUGACUCUGAUUUGAAACAAUCUCCUCUUCAAAGUUACCAAAAAUACUAUUUCUAUUUAGGUUUUUGCAUUCUCUUCCUCACUCUGAAAAUCCAACAAUUUCCUUUGCAUCAAAUCUACAUGAAAAUUGCUCAUAGUCGUCGUCACCAUUGUGGUUGUCGUCGGAACUCUUGAAAUCUUCUCUCUUUGUAAAGGUAUUUUUCUUUCUUUGUGUGCUAAGUCCAAAGGAAAGGAGUAUCUUGAAUCAUCUCUAUGAUUUCAAGAAAAGAAACUCAAAGGAUUUUAUCUUCUCUCUUAUCUUUGUAUGCCUUAGGACUAGUCAUUCUCUUCUUCUCCUCACUCUAACCCAAGCCAAAAAAAUCUUUUCUAAACUUUGACUUUUUUUCAAAUUAGAAACCUAGGCCUUAUGCCUUUGACUUUUCAAAAUCUUUUCAUCAAUACUCAUUGUGAAUGAAUCUUAAUUCUACUUUGACUUCAUUUUGUAAAUAAAUUUAACUUGUAAAUAUAACUCACUUCAAGUUGUUUUUGUGGUUCCAAUGACCACUUUUGUUAAAAUCUUUUCAUAAACAUUAGUCAUAGGUUUGAGUUAUCAUAGUGGUUGAUGUGAAUCUCACCUUAUCCUUAGUGAUUGGAUUAUAAGUCUUCCAUGCUUAUUAUAGGGUUAACCUCUCACUAGUAUGUUGAAGCUCUCCUCACAUGGUGGAUUGUUGGUUUAGGUUGAGUUUUCUCUCUUUGAUAACAAAAGACCUUAAGGUUUUUUGUCAAAUUAAUUCACCGAUCUUUGUGAUUUUUACCCGAACUACGAGGUUUUGAUCCUACCUUUGUGAUGGUACGUAGGCAAUGGGUUCAUCCAUUCAAACAACAAAAUUUGUAAAUAUAAUUUAUUCUCUUCUCAUCCCCCAAUCUUUUGCACAUAUUUUCAUAAAUACCAACCUACAACACAUAUUUGCAAAAAGGAUUCCCUUAUAGUAUUAAGGAUGUUUUGGAUGCGUAAAACCUUCCCGUUUCAUAACCAACCUCUUACCUAGAUCUCUGACAUUUUUUAUUAGUUUUUGAUUUGAUAAAACUUUUUACUUGGUUUUUGUUCGCUUUUUAUCCUUUCCUUUGGAUAAAUAAAAGUGAGGUGGCGACUCGAAUUGUAUGUUUAUUUUUGAUUUAGUCAAUAAACCAUAAGGUAACGAAAACACCGCUACAGCUACUGUUCAGCUGGUGUUGCAGGAUGGGCAACAUGUAUGGUUUGCACUGAGUUGGGUGUGGUUGGUCAUGGUCUGCAUAAUUUGUUGACUUGGUACGAAAUAUACGACUUUCCUUCUCAUUUGGUUUAGAUUAUGUUUGGAAUUUGUUUAGGUUGUAAAUUUUGUGCUAGUUAAUUUGAGAUGCUAAGUAUUAAUGAUUAUUGGCGGAUGCAAUGACAUCUUUUUUCUUGUGUAUAGCAGACUUCAUCACCUCAUAUUGUUCGGUCAUGGAAUCGUACAAGGAUUGUAUAAGUAUCCUUAGCCUUUUCAAGAUUUCUUGUUCAUAUCUACAGGUUCUGACUUAUGUGUUGGAUGUGAAUGAGCUGCAACUUUAUGUCAAGUCAUGACUGAGAACUUUCUGCUUCCAUGGUGAUGCGGUUAGCAGGGUCAUUGGAAUUAUUAGAAGGAUUCGGAGGUAAUGUCGUUCUGUUAUGGAGGUUGACUUUAUCAUGGUUUCUUGGAGGGGUCUGUUAUUGAGUUCAAAGUGGUCGAGAGAAGGUGUGAGAAUGCUGCAGAAGCGGGGUUCGUCCUGGAUGAUUGGUACGACAGUCGAUUUCAACGGAUUUUUCUCGGUUCAGUUUUAUAUGUUAUGGAGUGCAAGAGCAUCUCCAGGAACCACUUCUGACUGAAGAAGUUUCGGUUGCAAACUCUCAUUCUCCUUAUGCUCUGUUGUAUAUUUCAUCAUACAUUGGUUUCAUUAUCUCAAUCAGCAAUGCCUUUUUUGUCACUAUGUAUGCAGGCUUUACAGGUUCACCCGUCAAUGGACUAACACUUUCGGCUAUCAUCCCACAUAACAAACGCAUUCUGGCAUAAAACAGCAGCAGUUUUAUAUGCUUUUGUGAGCUGGGUAUGGUCCUCGUCAACAACAUGUUUUGGAAGCAGCAUUAACUGAAGAGAAUCAGCUUUUGGCAGAAUUGGCAGGUGCAUUGGGCAACUCUGUCAUGCCAUUGGGAAUGUGAGCUGCGAACGGUUAAAUGAAUUAAUCGAGUUUGAAAUGUCAUGUCAUAUCCGUUUUUUAGGAAGGUUUAUGAGAGAGUUUUGGUUCUCCUCUUGUCAUUAAUCUCGUUUUGCGAGUCCAUGUAAUCAUAUAGACGACCUUAAUUCUCAACCAACUUGCAGAACUGGUAAAUGCUGUCAAGAUACUCAACGGAAGCCAGUUCGUUGUUAGCAUCAACGACAUCAAUGUCAACAGUCUCCUGGUCGAACCACAUGCGGCCUAGCUUCCAGAAGGGCCCGUUAUAGGUUCCAUGACAUUGUUGGGGGUUGAAUGUCGACUCCUUUGGAAGAGUGUAAAAGGGGUCCGUCAUCUUCAAUACGGAAUCACAAUUCCGCUUAGACAAUUUUCGUGCUUGAUUACUGGGUCAAGUUUACUUGGGUUUCUUCUGUCUUAACUAUAUAUAGGUGAAUCCUUCUAGAGGAGGCAUGUUGCACUCUUUACCAUCAUACUUCAUCCGUAUAUUUGUGUUAUACUGAAUACUCAGUUGUUUCUACAGUUAAGAGAUGAAGAAAGUAGCUUGAAUAUAGUAUAUGAUAUGCUUUGUACAGUUUAUGGAAUUAAAUAAUGAUGAAUGUAUGGGGACUUUGAAUGAUUGGAAAGUUGUUUGUAAUUUGGAAAUUGAGGAAUGUAUUUGAAAACUGAAUUGAAUUAAA